rnacentral:rRNA from 1 species
GUGGGGAAUAUUGGACAAUGGGCGCAAGCCUGAUCCAGCCAUGCCGCGUGAGUGAUGAAGGCCUUAGGGUUGUAAAGCUCUUUCAGUAGGGAAGAUAAUGACGGUACCUACAGAAGAAGCCCCGGCUAACUUCGUGCCAGCAGCCGCGGUAAUACGAAGGGGGCUAGCGUUGUUCGGAUUUACUGGGCGUAAAGCGCACGUAGGCGGAUUGGUCAGUUAGAGGUGAAAUCCCGAAGCUCAACUUCGGAACUGCCUUUAAUACUGCCAGUCUCGAGUCCGGAAGAGGUGAGUGGAUCUCCUAGUGUAGAGGUGGAAUUCGUAGAUAUUAGGAAGAACACCAGUGGCGAAGGCGGCUCACUGGUCCGGUACUGACGCUGAGGUGCGAAAGCGUGGGGAGCAAACAGGAUUAGAAACCCUGGUAGUCC